rnacentral:snRNA from 1 species
AUACUUACCUGGCAGGGGAGAUACCAUGAUCAUAAAGGUGGUUUUCCCAGGGCGAGGCUUAUCCAUUGCACUCCGGAUGUGCUGACCCCUGCGAUUUCCCCAAAUGUGGGAAACUCGACUGCAUAAUUUGUGGUAGUGGGGGACUGCGUUCGCGCUUUCCCCUG